ACGACGCUGGCGGCGUGCCUAAUACGAUGCAAGUCGAACGGUCUUUCUAUGGAAGCUUGCUUCCACUGAGAAGAGUAGUGGCGAACGGGUGAGUAACACGUGGGUAACCUGCCCAUAAGAGGGGGGAUAACAUCCGGAAACGGGUGCUAAUACCGCAUAGUUUUCUUGAUUGCAUGAUUGGAGAAAGGAAAGACGGCCUUUGUGCUGUCGCUUAUGGAUGGACCCGCGGCGUAUUAGUUAGUUGGUGAGGUAACGGCUCACCAAGACGAUGAUACGUAGCCGACCUGAGAGGGUGAUCGGCCACAUUGGGACUGAGACACGGCCCAAACUCCUACGGGGAGGCAACAGUAGGGAAUCUUCCGCAAUGGACGAAAGUCUGACGGAGCAACGCCGCGUGAGUGAAGAAGGUUUUCGGGAAGUCGUAAAACUCUGUUGUCAGAGAAGAACAAGUUGGAGAGUAACUGCUCCAGCCUUGACGGUAUCUGACCAGAAAGCCACGGCUAACUACGUGCCAGCAGCAGC
rnacentral:rRNA from 1 species